UGAAAACAUUUGAAUCAUAAAAUGGAAACAUUUUCUUUAUUAAUAUAUUAAUAAGGAUCAUUACAACUGUUAAUUUUGUUUUUAUAUCUCGUUAAUCAGGAUUUAUAAAAUGUGUACAACAACCAUUCCAAUUGAAUUGAAAGCUUUUGAGGGGAAAAGGAUUAAAACAAAAUGUGCUCCUCGUCAAGUGUAUUGCAUGAUGGAUAAUCGAUACAAAAAAAGUGAGGAUUUAAAUCAAUUUAUUGUGAACAGAGCAAGAUUACCCGGACUGGAAGGACAAGAAGGAGCAAAUGGCAGGCCAAAUGAAGCAAAUGUGCAUUGAGAUUUCAAUUUAGCAGAUUAAUUUUGUUAAAUCUUUUUCAAUUUUUCAUCGUUUCCCGCUGAGUUUGAAGGUGUCAUCUGAUGUGUAUGAUGAUGAUGAUGACGAUACAAUACUGAAUGAAGCAUGGAAAGAGCCACAAAUUGAAUUUUUCAAGUGUCUUGUUCUGAAAAAUUAUAUUUACUUGUCUACAUCUGGAGAUAUUAUGAGCCAAUCCAGGCAGGAUUAGUCAGCUUAGUAACCUUUCUCAGCACACAAUACAAGAUGUUGACAAAAUUGUAAAUUUAAAUUUUUCACUUUCCUGGACAUGUAAUCAAGCUGAAAUGGUGAAAAAUCUUGUAACUCUUGGGUCCUUCAAAUUUCAGCCUCACUCAGAAUGAACAUCAUGAUGAUUGCCUCUUUCCUUUCUUUCCAAUCAUCAUCUCCCUUACAAUUAAUGGUCUCGAUUUAGCCAUUUUGUCAGAUCCAUCUUCCUUUUCCCUUGAUAAUGAGAUUGAAUCAGUUUCUUAAUCCGAUUUUUAAGCAUCAAUUAGUCUCCUUCUAGCUUCAUUGAUAAUCUAUUGAUGAUCAUCCAUCAUCCAUUUUACGACAACUACACAUUUCAAUCAUCAUCAACAUCAUCGACACAUCAAACAACACACAAACUAUUCACUAUUAUUAUCUGCUCUUCAAAUCAUUUCAACCUUUCUAGAGGAAUUAAUACGUUAACAUAUACAUUGAUUACUUUGAACAAAGUUACACUAUUAGACAGCCUUUAAAGAUCAUUAAUCAGCUGAUUAAAUAGCUUGCGUUUAACAAAAAAAAGAGUAGAUUAAAUCAGGAAGAACGGAUCAUAAUCUUAAGGUCCAAUUAGUUGAUUUCAAUGAACGUUUGCCUAAAAACAAUAAUUCAACCUAAACUGGUUGAACAGCAUUAAGUUUAAUCAUAAAACAAUAUCAACAUCAAUACAACAAAUCCAAAGAUGAUCAAGAGAAAGUCAAUGUUCAAUUUAAUCACAAUCAUCUUUUUUCACUCUAAUUACUUGCAAUCAAACUCAUCUUAAAGACUUGAGCUAACUAAAUGAAUAUUUAAAUUUAAUGAGCCAAAUCUCAAGUCUAACAUUUCAAUGAUAAUUGAUUAACAUCAAUUAAAUUACUAAUUAACUAAUGAACCAGCAAAACAGAUUAACUUUCAUUUGCAAAAGUGUCAAUGUUUUCUAAUAGAGGGCGCUGACUAUUUCAUUGUAAAUGGAGACUUGGGAUGGCAAGAACGACCAUUUUCCAGUUAGACCCCUGAAUCGACCACAAGAUCAAUCUUUCAAUAUUUAAAUCGCUACGCAACUGUUGGCUAAACGAGUGAAGAGCAAAAUUUCAGUCGAUUUGUGACUUAUUUAGGUUUAGUCAGGCCGGACAAGCAAUCAGCUUUUCUCAAAUACUUCAAUCGUUAAAGAAGAAGCUCAUUUAGAUCAGAAGCACGGUAGAUCGACCCUAAAGUUUUAAAAGACCGAUCUUCGAUUUUUUUCUGUCAUCACUCAUAGACUUGAAAAACCAAAAUGUAAAUGAUUCGCCACACAACAAUACACUAAAAGAUUGGGAAAGCCUCGGCUGGAUUGACUCGUAACUGUUGACUGUCAUUAGUUUACAAUGAUCAUAAAGUGAUAAUAAUUACGGUUAAUGGUAAUGGUUAUGAUAACGUUAAUAAUCACUUUUAACUUGCUACAAUUUAUUCACAACUCAGCAUUGGAUAAAGAUGCUGAUUGACGCUAAAAGAAGGCCUUAAGGAUUGAAAAAGAUGGAUUUAAUUAACAACAACAAGGAACAACAAGAUGUUUUAUUUUUAAAUUAGUGGCUUUUAUUCAAGUUAAUUUGCAUCUAAUUGUUUAUCUAUCUCAAGGCAAUUUAAAGUCAUGAUUGGAAAGUCAAAGAGCCUUUUCAUUUCAUCAUCUUUAUUGAUGCUAAGAGGAUGAAGAGCAUUUCAUCUUUUUGCUCUUCUUUUUCUUCCUUUCAUUUCUUAUAAUGUUAUCGUUGACUCUUGAGGUGAUUGAAUAUUAACACCCAUUGGUCAAGUUAACAAUCUUUAAGGGCAUCAUUCGCAUAAUGACAAUGUUUCUAUUAUAAUUGCUAAUUUUAUUAUCUAUUCAAUUCUGUUGGCAAAUUGUGAUUGAAAUAAUAAUGAUUAGCUAUAAUAACUGAAUCGACUAACAGUUAUGAGCAGUGAAACCAAACAAACAAGUGUCUGUUAAAACAUUUUGUUAUUCAACUCAAUAUUAUGAUACAAGUUAAUGCUCAAUAUUUUGAACCAUUAAUUGUAAUUAGAGAUAAGAUUAACAAUAUUCCUCAGUGAAACUAAAUAUUCAUCUAAAUAUAAACCAAUUUCGGGGUUGAUUGGACUCAUUUCAGGUUCUCGGUAAAAAAAGGGAUUGACUUGAAAUCUUAUUCCAAUCUGAUUAUUAGCAAUCUAAAAUAAAGUGAAUGAUGUUUCUGGUUUCAUCCAUUAACUAUGACACUUCAAUUAACGAACCUGUUCCAUGUUUUAGUUAAUGUCUAAUUGAUUAUAAUCAACUAAAAGAAAUGAAUCAGAGAUUAGUGGUCAUCGAGAGCUUUAAUCAAUCCUAACAUGGGAUACGAAUGAAAAUUUAAUUAAAAUGAAAUGUUAAACAACUAAACCAACAAACCAAAGGAUAUUAUGUCAAGUUGGAAAUUAAAUUGAACUCGUCAAUAUCAUUGUUAGUCCUGUUAUCGGUGAGAUUUGUGAAGAUGAAAGCGAACAGUUCUGUCACCAUUCAGAUAGAGACUCUAUCUGGUACUUAUAUUUACACACAUUAGACUCGCUAGCUGGCUCAGUUUGAAUCGAUAUCAAGAAAUAGAUUUUGAUUGAAUUUCUAUUGGAAUCUCCAAAGUAUUAAAAUUGCUUUAUUUACACUUCUGGUUGAUAUAUUGAAACAUAUUUCCUUAUAUUUAAACAGCUGUCUAUUUAUCCGUUGGUUAUUCAAUUGUUUAACGAGGUUAAUUUUUUUAAUUCUGGGGAAAAUAUAAAUGUGAGUUUCCCUCUUCAUUAUCUAUCCAAUCUAUCCAAGCUGUUUGUUGAAACUUCAACCGAUCAAAAGGAUUUUCAUCUUUAAUUCUCGCCAUUUAUCAUCUAUUCCUGAAAAUGUUAUAAAAAAUUAUUCAAGUUUUACUCAGGAAUUAUGAAUCAUAAUUUAUGGCUGACACAAUUAUAAGUGGAUGGAUAAAAAAACCAAUCAAUAAUCGCGAUCAAUAGUCUUCUUUAAUAUUAUUAGCAUCAGACUUUGCUCUUUGAUUAACAGUAAAGUCUCAUAAUAUUACAGUAAAUCAACACUUUAAUCAGUUAAGACCAACAGUUGGAUUACAUUGCAAACUGAAACCAGAAAAUAGAAAGCAAGCAAAGUUGAUUUCCAAGAAUUCAAGAUUAAUUGAUACACCUAAGACUAUUAGUAAUAACUAAAGAAUAUCAAAUCACUUGAAGUGUUUUUGCAGGAAGAAAUUAACUAACCAACAAUGAAAGCCAUCAAAAUGUUGUUAUCAAACUCUUUUUUCAUUGUUACUUGUGACUUACUUUCAUCACCUUGGAAGAUCUUUCAGAUAAACUCCCUCUGAUUACCGUCGAGAUUGAUUCAAUGUUCAUUUGAGUCACUUUAGUUUCAUUCAUUUACCCAUUUUGUGUGCAUCAAACAGUUUCAUUAAGUUCUUUAUUACACUAAUCAACAUUUAUUAACCAUCAUGGCGUUCGAAGUUCACAGUAAAACAAAGUCAUUUUUUAUAUGUAUUUUUGGUGUCGCAGUUGUGCUCGAUAUCAUUCAACUACUUGGUGGCAGUUUCGGUGGUGGUGGUACCCAAAUCAGUACCGGUAUUGGUAGCUUGAUAUUUGAUGGAAUUAUGUUGCUGGCAAUCAUUAAACAAUGGAGAGUUUUCCUGAAAUUUUGUCGAAUCAUAACCAUCAUUAUUAUUGUUUUGAAAUUCAUUGUGAUUGUGCUUUCAAUCAUCGCAUUAGUUGCUCUUAAAAAGGACUACAAAGACUAUGAUUCCGACAGAAAUUGGUUAAUCGUCAACCUGGUAACUCUCAUCAUGAGUUCCCUUCUCAACUCAAUUUAUGCCUUCCUUCUUGGAAAGUAUAUCGACCAACUAGAAGGACAUUGACCAUUGAACCACAAGUAUCGUAUUGCUAUCAAUAUAUUCACCUCAAAACUAUACAGCCUCUUACUUCACACAUCAAUUUUCAACGCACUUGGCAGCUUUCAUGGCAAGAUAAAUCAAAAUGUUAUGUACAUGAACACACGAAAUUUUUAACAUGAAAAUAAAUCUCAUCAACAUUAGUUUUUGAUUUUUGAAAA